UCCCUGGUGGCUCAGUGGUAAAGAAUCCACCUGCAGUGCAGAAGACAUGGGUUCGAUCCCUAUGUAGGGAA
rnacentral:tRNA from 1 species